rnacentral:lncRNA from 1 species
CUGACUUCUGUCUCCCAGGAUGGAGGAAGACGCUGGCCUGGUCCCCUACAAGGAUGGCAUGGUGGAGGAUGAAACAGACAAGUUAGAGGAUCCAGAGUUUGAGAUGAAUUGUGGCCCUCUGGUCACGGAGAAUGCGAUUGCCCCUGAGCAACCCUGUCCCAGGAAGGAAGGAGGCACUGAUGCUAAGAAAAUGAAGCCGGAGACCUUGGCCACAGACAGGCUGCAGGCAUCUCAGCUGCACAGGAGCCUGGAGCUCCUGGACCAAGCAUUCGAGGAGAAGGAGCUGUUCCUCCAGAAGACCCGAGAGGAGCUGUGCGCCUGUCGCCAGAGGAUGGACCUCCUGAGCAAGCAGCAGGCGACUGUGGCUGAAGAGGUCACCCGGGAGAGAACAACCAGCAACAUGGCAGCGGUGGGCCGACUACAGGCCACAUCCCGACGCCUGUGCCUGGAGCUGGAGGAUGAGCGGGACCUGCAGGCACGAAUCAUGGCCGUGCUGCAGGAGAAUGAGAGCGCCAUGUGGCACCUUGAGAUCAAGAAAGGGCAGCUGGAGGACAUCCGGAAGUCCAGCUGCCAGAGGACGGAGGCCAGGGACCUCUGCCUCAGGGCACAUGUGGCCCAGCAGCUCUGCAGGGAGGAGGAGGCCUCAGGGAGGGCAGAGAGGAACCGGAGGCUGCAGAUCCGGAAGUCCUUGCACAUGCAGAGAGAGCUGGGGCUCAAGCACCAGAAACUGGUGGAAGAUGCCCAGAAGAACCACUGGGUGGCAGUGAAGUUCCUGAAGGCUUCCCUGGGCCGAGUGCGGGAGCGAGAGCGGAAGCAGGAGCUGGAGUCCCGUGAGCACCUGCAGCGGCGCAUGGAGGCCGUGCUGGCACUGAAGAACAGCAUCACCGCUAACCGGGAGACACUGAGGAAGUUUCAAGCCUGGGGCCGGGCCAGGAAGGAACAGGAGGGGCAGCAGGUCCAGGUGGAGCAGCAGGAGGUCCUGGCCCAGGGCAGGGACGCCUUCAAGCACCUUUUCCACCAGCGUCGUCGCCAGGAGCUGGAGGCGCAGAGGCGGGCGUUUGAGGAGCAGCAGCAGCUGCGGAAGCAGGAGAUAGUCAGUCGGAUCCUGCAGGAGGGCACCAAGGAGGGAAACUGCAGGAAGAGGCAGCAGCCCCCAGCCAAGGCCACCACCCCUCGGAUGCUGAGGGACCGGACCUGGAGCUACAUCACUGCCUUCUGUGAAGGGAAAGCGUACCCCACGGCCACCAGGCACUCUCCAGCCAGCGAGGCAGCGGUGCAGCCCAUGUCUCUGCUGAUGCUGACAACCUCCAGCGAAUCCAUGCAGAACGUCCCCAGGCUGGCCAGCCUGGAGGAGGAGACGCUGGCUGAGCCAGAGAUUCUCGGACUGUGGAGCGAAGAGCACAGGCAGUACCAGGUACCCAAGGAGGAUGUGGACCGGAAGCCCGUGGGUGAGACGAAGAUGGACAAGGACAUUCUGGCCCGCAUGCUGGCACGGCUGCGCAGUGGGGUGGUCCACAAACAGGUGGCGUCUGGCCGGGAAUUCAAGGGCCGCCCCUUCAACAGCAAGCCCGAGCGGAUCCACUUCAAGGACUUUGAUGUUGGCAAAGUGUACAAGAAGAAGAUAACGCUCAUCAACGCCACCUACACGAUCAACUACUGCAAGCUGGUUGGCGUGGAGCAGCACCUCCGGGACUUCAUCCGUGUGGACUUCGACCCUCCUGGGCCCUUGUCUGCUGGGAUGUCCUGUGAGGUUCUCGUCACCUUCAAGCCCAUGAUAAACCAAGAUCUGGAAGGAAGCAUCUCCUUUUUGGCUCAGACAGGCGGAUUUUCUGUCCCACUGAAAUGUUCAACAAAGAAAUGUUCUUUGUCCCUGGACAAGGAGCUCAUCAGCUUUGGCAGCUACAUGGUGGGAAAGACCACAUCACGAACCAUCACGCUGACCAAUGCCGGGGGGCUGGGCACCAGGUUCCGGUUUCUCCCGGCCUCUAAGGCCUGCAAGCUGGACGAGUCCCAGUCUGCCCUGAAGCCAAGCAGCCUGUACACCUAUGAGGACCGGAGUCUCUAUGAGGGGGCCGUGUAUGAUGUGUCCGAGACACUGUUGGAGGCCAGCACAUCCUCCCCGCUGGACACCCAGAGCCAGAAGGAGUCAGAGAAGUCCAAGGAACCAGAGGGCGUGCCUGCAGCCGGCGUCAUGGUAACCAGCCCCAGCGAGGCCCAGGCGCAGAUCACGCUGGGUGAGGUGACUGAGGGGGAAAUCGGGCCCUUCAGCUCCAUCAGAGUGCCCGUGGUCUUCACACCAGCUGUCCCCGGAGAGGUCCACGCCCAGUUCCAGGUGGAGUCCAAGAACCCACAGUGCCCAACGCUGUAUUUCAGAGCCACAGGCGUGGCGGUGGACGUGCCCCUGUGGGUGCCCAAGCCCAUCGUGGACCUCAAGAUCUGCAUGUAUGACCGGCUGUACCAGGACUCCGUGCUCGUGCACACACGGUCCAAGGUGGCCCUGCGCCUGCGGUUCGAGGUAUGCAAGGAGCUGAGAGGCCACCUGGAGCUGCUGCCCGAGACGGGUUACAUCCAGGCCCUGGCGUCCUGCUCCGUGCAGCUGAAGUUCCUGCCCCGACAGUCCCUCCCAGAAGAUGCCGGGGAGUACUUUGACAAGGACACCCGCGUGCUGGAGGCCCCAAUGACAAUCUGGGUGGCUGACCAGACCAAGCCGGUGGGCUUCACGGUGCACGCCAUUGUCACCACUUCGGACCUGGAGCUCUGCCCCUCCGCGCUGGACUUUGGCUACUGCACCAUCUACGAGGCCAUCAGGGCCAGCAUCAGCCUCUGCAACCACUCGCUGCUGCCCCAGGAGUUCGGAUUUGUGGGGCUCCCCAAGUUUGUAGACAUCCAGCCCAAUGACGGCUUCGGCACGAUCCUGCCGCUGGAGACGCUGCAGCUCCAGGUGCUCUUCCAGCCCACCAAGGCCAGAGAGUAUAGCUUCGAACUGGUCUGCAAGUCCAAGAUAAACCGGUGCUUCAAGCUGUCCUGCCAUGCUGUGGGUGUGCACCCACCCCUGGAGCUGUCCCACUACCAGAUCAAGUUUGCGGCUACCGCACUGUACGACACUUCGGUGGCCUUGCUGUACGUCACCAACUCCCACCUGACCAUGAGCCCACUGCCCCGUGUGGUUCCCUCAGGGGGCCCCUGCCCAGGAGGACCAACGUCUUUCGAGUUCCUGCCACCCAAGGAUGCGCCCAUCACCAUCUCCCCCCUGGUGGGAACCGUGCUGCCUGGAAAGAGGUGCCUGGUCCGGGUGGCCUUUCAGCCCACACUGCCCCACAAGCUUGUCAGCCAGGAAGCUCUCCAGACCCUGAGCAAGGAAAGCGAGGCCAAGCCGCUCCAGAAGGAUGUAGCCACCCAGAGGAAGGAUGUGAGAGUGCAGGACCAGCUGGGCCAGGCCCCCACCCUACAGAAGCAGGAGCUGGAGGCCAGGUACGAUGGAGAGGGCUCCCUGUGUGACCCAGCCACCACAAAACCCCACUGCCAUCCUGGGGGCCUCUCCCUGCAGACUGCCAGAGCACAGCUGUGCGGACCCAUGGGGCUGGAAGCGCCAGGUGAUCAAGCUGGGUCCGGGGGCUCCUCUCCCAGGCAUGUGCCCAGCACUUCCUGGGGCCUGGUGUCACUCCUGCCACAGGCUGUACGAGAGGCUACUGUCCUGACAGCCUUCCCAAAGCGAAAGCAGUCCAGGAGUGCUCUGGGGGCUUAGACACUUGUUAGCCCUAGACUCCAUCCUGUGUCCCAAGAACAGCUCCC